rnacentral:rRNA from 1 species
UUUGUGGUUCAACUGAUUUGAAGAGCUUGCUCAGAUAUGACGAUGGACAUUGCAAAGAGUGGCGAACGGGUGAGUAACACGUGGGAAACCUACCUCUUAGCAGGGGAUAACAUUUGGAAACAGAUGCUAAUACCGUAUAACAAUGACAACCGCAUGGUUGUUAUUUAAAAGAUGGUUCUGCUAUCACUAAGAGAUGGUCCCGCGGUGCAUUAGCUAGUUGGUAAGGUAAUGGCUUACCAAGGCGAUGAUGCAUAGCCGAGUUGAGAGACUGAUCGGCCACAAUGGGACUGAGACACGGCCCAUACUCCUACGGGAGGCAGCAGUAGGGAAUCUUCCACAAUGGGCGAAAGCCUGAUGGAGCAACGCCGCGUGUGUGAUGAAGGGUUUCGGCUCGUAAAACACUGUUGUAAGAGAAGAAUGACAUUGAGAGUAACUGUUCAAUGUGUGACGGUAUCUUACCAGAAAGGAACGGCUAAAUACGUG